rnacentral:lncRNA from 1 species
UACUGAAAGAUGGCUGAGAUUUUUUCCACAGAUUUGUGGAGUCAAGAGGAACAUCUAGGAACAUUGUCUGCUGUUAUCUGGACGUGUCAAUGCGUGGAUGUCAAUGCAUGGAUGCCAGGUGGAAUCCAGUUGUGUAAAAGCCAGGAGGUGCCAAGUAUUCUCACCUGGGAAAUGAGAUCAUUCAGCAUCUCACUGGAUUAGCCUGUGGCAACUGGGACUACUGAGGACAACCUAUUUAAUAAAUACCAUUCAGUUUCCAAAGACAGGUGGCAAUCUACUAGAAAACUAAGUUUACAAAUUAACCGUAAUUAUUAAUUAGGACUGAAAAUAAGGUCUACGUAUAAAGUAAAAUCAGUGUUUUGCUCAGGAGAAAAAGAAAUGGUACCGAGCUCCUUCAGAAACAAAAACAUACCCAGCCUGUGCAACAAGUGCAGAGUUGAAGUUUGAGCUAAAGGCCGAGGCAAACCCUGGCAGGACCGGAGCCGGAGAUGGGGCUGUGGCAGCUGCCGGCAAUGGUGCAACUGCUGCUACUGCAGAGGAUGCCUGGAGGCCAGGGAAAGAAGGGAGAGCAGGAGUGACAGAGGGUGUGUUAGAGACAGGAAAACCAGGGAAGGAUGGGUUUGAUGAUCCCAGAGGUCCCUGGGCAACAGAAAAAAGGGAAGGGACGGCACUGGACAAGUUAAGCGAAAAGGGUGGAGCAGAGACUGUUGCUGAGGCGGCGAGUCCUGAGAGUACGGCGGCUGUGGAAUUCACAUGAGGGGCAGACACAGCUGAAGCAGUAGUAGCCGGAGUAGCUAACAAAGACCCUGGGAGAGUGACGGGUGGCGUAAGUGCUGGAUUACCAGUAAAAGCAAAGUUACUGGUUAGAGAUGUGAAAGGAGGAAGUCCAUUAAAUACAGGGGCAAUGGGAGCGGUGGAGCCAUGUGGGGCGAGGGAAAUGGAAGCCAGAGAACUGGAGUUGUUUAGAGGAGCACUCAAAGAGGAGAGACCCGAUAGUGCUGGAUUCAGGGAGCUGGGUAAACUGACUGGCACUGACGCUGCUGAGGUGUACGCACGCCCGAGCGCUGAGAGCCCUAUAGUGCCAUGAGAAGGGCCAGCUGAGUGAGAAGGACCUUUGAAGGCUGAGAGGGUAGGACUCAUGGGUUCUGUUUUGAUCAGAACUUGUGGGAUACUUGUGGCAGCUGGGGUUGAUGAGAGUUGCUGGUCGGGAUUAGUAGGACUUGUGCCAUGCAAGAGGGAGGCUGAUGAGCCACAGUUGACUGGCAUAACUGAUGGUGAAGUGGUUAAAGGUGACUGUGCAGGCAAUGUUGGAGGAGUGGAACUAGAGUUGGUCACAGAUGGGGAUGGAAGACCUGGAAAAAUGGCCAACCCGGGCGUGGAGGAACGCUGUGAGGUGGGGGUGGCUGAUGGAGUAUAACAUUUGACAGAGGAUGUGGGAGGGUCAGAGCUUUGAUUAGCAAGAACAGAUAAAGAAGCAAGUUCACUUGUCAUAGCAGAAGGUAAAGCAGAUGAAUUGAUUAAUGAAGUGUCAUUUGAUGUCAGAAAUCCCUUUAAGACAGACAAAAUAGGGUUAGGCAAGCUAAGUGAACCAGGAAUGGUGGUGGCAGGAGAAUUAGCAAUUGUUGAGGGAACAGGACUAGAAAUCCCUUGGACAUUGGGUGGCAAGGACAGAGGGAGUCCAGCAAAAACUGAUGACAAUGGAGUGGGAUUGCUAGCUGAAGCAACUGAAGAGGCUGCAGAAAAAGGGAGACCAGCAAAUGGUGUAGGAGCAGAUGCAAAAGCUUCACUAGGUGCAGGUGUAGCACACGGUGUAGAAGAGCCUUGUGGAGCUGGUGUAGCAGAGGGUAUAGAAGCCAGCCCAGAGAAAACCGCAGGAAUGGGAGUAGAGGUUGCACUGUGUACAGAUGUGACAGGAACACCAGGUAAUGAAAGGGAUUUGAUGACUGUAGGGGUUGGGGUGGAUGGCUGAGAUGUAUGGAUGGAGGAGGAGACCUGUCCCGGGAAAACAGGAAGGACAGGGGUAGACAUGUUCAUCCCAGAGAUGAGUGGAGUUGCAGGUGCUAAUGGAUGGCUUAUUGCCUUGACAGGUGAUGGGGUAGGGACUGGAGUAGCAGCAGGUGUUGAAGGAUUAGAACCAUGAGGAGUAAAGAGCUGAUUCGUUUGUGCAGAAAAAGCUGG